UUUGUUUGAUUUAUCAGACAAUGAACUCGGUUCAUUCCGGCUGGAAGUGGUGUUUUGCCUUCUGUGGGUGGUGCCUCUAAUCUCAGUUCACCUUUUAAAGCCUUUGCUAUGCUACUUUCAGUGUGUCCCCUGUGUGCCCCAUUCAGAGAUUAAUCAGAGGCGGGCUGUGGUUCAGCUAUCACUUCAGUUCUCAAAGCCUUGGCCGUGCUGUUUUGGGUCUGACUGUGCGCGCCCUGUGCGGGGUCAUCAACAGAACUGUGGACUCCCCACCCCGCCCUGCCCCCGUAACUCUCCUCUCCACACUCUGGCCCACGAGGACCCCUUCUCUCAGCUCUCAAUCCAGAAAGCUGGAAAUAUUAUUUCAGUUUUAGCAGCCUCCAGGGCUGACCCUUUCCCAGCUCGGUGCUUGGGGCUGCCCUCAGGGCAAAGCUAUGAGAAAAGAGAAAAAGAGAGAGAGAGAGAGAGAGGGACAGGGAGAAAGAGAGAGAGAGAUCUGACAAAUUCAUUUCCUUGCAGGUCACUUCUCCGAGCUUCAAUUUCCAUCUCCAAUGUGCCUGCUUUGGCUGCAUUUUCAGGCUUCAGGGAGCGGCUUCUUGUAUUUUGUCCGGAGUUUUUAGAUGCAGUCUGCGACAGAGGUAAACCGUGGUGCCCUGCUAUGCCAGAGAUGAAGUCUAUUCAUGUGGAAAAGAACAUCUUCAAGGAGUUUGGAGAGAACAAAGAUGACAGCGGGAUGGGACAGGCACUUCGGAGUCCUCCCUUCCAUUUCCUGAAAUGGUGCUCUGGUUGUUAGGGAACCAAAAUGCCAAGUCACCUUGGAUCAAGUUUCCUCCGCCUUUCUCUCCUGGGUACUAAACUCUGGCUCUCCCACUUGCGGAGAAAAGUCAUUUAGAGAUUUAACGUUGGUUUGAUUUCUAUUAGCCAUGGUACAAUAUCAACAUUUUCCCCCAGGCAAAGGUAAAAAUGACACAUUUUUUCCAUGCGUGGUUUGUGCAUGGGUAUGUGCUCUAAGACUGUUUUUAUUAAAACAAAGCUCUUGCCUGCUUCCUGUGAGAAUCAGUGUUUUGUUGUCAGAUGAUGGGGUUUUGUGUUGCUGUGUUAGAGCCCCCCCCCGGCUGGGGUAGGGUACUGACUGGAUUCACCCCGAGUGUAUCAGUUAAAGUAAUCUCAGAUGAAGCUGAGGGCAGAGGAGAGGGAAGAACAUUUUAAAGGAUAAAAAACAACAACAACAACAACAAUGGCAUGAAAUGGACUAUCAACCACAAACCGCCAAGUUGAUUAGUGUAAAAUUAAUAAUGUGCUGAGCGAUGGUCUCCUCCUGACUUUGGUGGGGAUUUAAUAUAUGUUUCCCUCACCCAGGUAAUUUUGGUUUUUAAAAACGAAUUCCAAUGUCAAACUAAAUAGGACACUAUUCUCAUUAACGAGUUUUUUUGUCUCAGAAGUCAGAACCCCAUGGAUGGGCUCACAAGUUCUAGAAAGAAACUAAGCUGUAGACACCUAGAUAUUUAGGGCUGAAAAAAAAAUAUUUUUAAACCGUCUAGUCCAAUUUCUUUCUUUUACAACCAGAAUUGGAAACAUAAGAGAAGUUAAGCAACGUGUUAAACGUCCCAGAGCUACUGACAUAGCCCAAACUCAGACACAUGAGUAUUCGCUGUCUAUUGAGCUUUCCACCAGACCACGAAGAUUAGAACGUUUGUGGUGUCUUGCCAUCUUUGCUUUGUCUCUUUCGACGCAAGAGUUGAAGGUAGUGGAGUGGUGGGCAGAAAGGGGAGUUUACAGACAGAAAGUCCUUGAAAGGGACCCAGUUUCUCAGAAAAGGAUGGCUAACGAUGUUCAUACUGAUUUGUUAUAAGAUUUUCAUUCACUCAGGAGGAAGCCAGUGAUCCUCCCUGCUCUGAGGAUUCCAGGGGGAUUCGGAGAUUCCUAAAGCCCUCCGACGUUUAACGACGAUGGACGAUGGCAGACCCGUGCCUUCCUUGAGCUCAAAACCCAAAUGGCUCCUGUGUCUCCUGCCUGUGCGUCCCCUCCCCCAAUGAGCCAAAACGCACAGCUCACUGUUUGAUUGACUACGAUGGACAUAUUGCAAAGAGAAUUAAGAUUUUGUAGGUGCCCUGAGCCUCGGUUAGCAUGAAAAUUCCCGCUUGAAAACAAUCUCCCAAGGAAUGCUUUAGGAAAGAUGCUGGUGACUUCCGGGCAACUUAGAAGAUGCGGGUUUUAUUACAGUUUCAGUGGGCAUCCUCCCUCCUACAUAUAUGGUCACCCAUCAACACAGGCCAGUCUGAUGAAGACAAAACCAGGUAAAAAUAGUUUCUCAGGUUUAUUUAGAAAGUAACAUUCCCCGGGGUUGUGAGAACAGAAUGGGCGACCGGACAUAUUCCAAGGCAGGGCUAGUGAAGCAAGGCUGUCCUGAUGACCCGAGAAAUUCAGUCUCAGGACUCGGCGGCAUGGAAUUGAACUAGCCAGCCCCCAAACAGGGCGACCAGGGAGGCUGCUCCCGUGAGGCAAAUAUCCUGAUUGAGGCUGCAGAAAAUAGUUUCUGGGGUGCUCUGGGCACUGUGCCUCACCUCUACCAGACAAAGGCCACCAGGACAGUGAUUCGGGGAAAGAAGGUAGUUCAGCCAUGCUAAACAAGGCCCAAGACUCAUAUAUAUUUGGCUCUCAGCCUAAGACACACCUCUUGUCUCCCCUGAGAUGCUCCUCCUGCAUCCACGAUACCCCAGCAGCUGCUCUUAAACUUCUUUUUCAACCCGUGACACACAUCAGCAUUGACGUUGGCUCAGGUCAUGAUCUCACAGUUCGUGAGUUCGAGCCCCGCGUCGGGCUCUGGGCCGACAGCUCAGAGCCUGGAGCCUGCGGGUUCCGUGUCUCAUUCUCUCUGUGCCUCUCCCCGACUUGUGCUCUGUCUCUCAAAAAUGAAUAAAUAAAUGUAAAAAAAAAAAAUUUUUUUUUAA
ensembl:lncRNA